rnacentral:rRNA from 1 species
GACGAACGCUGGCGGCGUGCCUAAUACAUGCAAGUCGAGCGAACAGACCAGGAGUUUGCUCCUCUGACGUUAGCGGCGGACGGGUGCGGCACACGUGUAUAACCUACCUAUCAGACUGGGAUACUAUCGGGAAACCGGAUCUAAUACCGGAUAAUAUAUUGCCCCGCAUUGUUCAAUCGUGAAAUUCGGUUUUUGUGACACUUAUAGCCGGCUCCGCGCCGCAUGAGCUGGUUGGCAAGGUGACGGGUUACCAAGGCUACGAUGCGUAGACGACCUCAGAGCGUGGUCGGACACACGGGAGGUGAGACAGGGUCCAGACUCCGGCGGUAGGCAGCAGUAGAGAAUCGUACGCAAUGGAGGAAAGCCUGACAGAGCAACACCGCGUGAGGGAUGAAGGUGUUCGGAUCGGAAAGCUAUGUUAUUAGGUGGGAACAAAUGUGUAAUUAACCGUGCAGGUAUUGACGGUACCUGGUCAAAAAGCCACGGCUAACUACGUG